UACGUAGGUGGCAAGCGUUGUCCGGAUUACUGGGCGUAAAGAGCUCGUAGGCGGCUUGUCGCGUCGUCCGUGAAAACCCACAGCUCAACUGUGGGCUUGCGGUCGAUACGGGCAGGCUAGAGUUCGGUAGGGGAGACUGGAAUUCCUGGUGUAGCGGUGAAAUGCGCAGAUAUCGAGGAGGAACACCAAUGGCGAAGGCAGCUCGCUGGGACGGUACUGACGCUGAGACGCGAAAGCGUGGGGAGCAAACAGG
rnacentral:rRNA from 1 species